UUUGACUGAUUUACUAUAGAACAAAUAGUACGAACAUUCACCGGUCCGAGUCCUAGAUAAGAAAUAAGAAAAAUUGGAAUUGGUUGAUGGAUAUGGAUGAAACUUUGCAUCAGUGAUGUGUUUAUGAAAAGAAGUCAGGAAAAUAAAGGAUAACUGACAGACCGUGCAGUUACCAAAGCCUGGGUUUAAGUACAGGACCUUACCUUAUCACGGUAAAGAUCUAUGGAAGGACUCCUUCAGCUCAGUUUGGCAGCAGCUUUGUCAGGACACAUUGAGAAGGAACUCAUUUGUUGGUGGAAGGAUUAAAGAUGUACUACCCACCAGCUGUGAGGAGUUUUUAAAGAGGUGAAUUUAAACAGUGUUACAACAGAAUGAAGAUUUCUGAAAAAAGUAGAUGGCUAACCUAUUAUAUUUUGGGCCUCAUUGGACUUAGAUAGUGUUAA